UACGUAGGGGGCAAGCGUUGUUCGGAAUGACUGGGCGUAAAGGGUGCGUAGGCGGUGUAGCAAGUUAGAAGUGAAAUACCUAGAGCUUAACUCAGGUGCUGCUUCUAAAAUUGCUAUACUUGAGUGCAGUAGAGGAAAGUGGAAUUCCUAGUGUAGCGGUGGAAUGCGUAGAUAUUAGGAGGAACAUCAGUGGCGAAGGCGACUUUCUGGACUGUAACUGACGCUGAGGCACGAAAGUGUGGGGAGCAAACAGG
rnacentral:rRNA from 1 species